UCCUAGCCCUGAUAGAAGCGGAAAUCAUUUUUCUCUAAAACUUAUUUUUUCCUGGCUGGACAGAGCGACCGGAGGAAGCUCCUGAACAGACUUUGGAAAAAAAAGUUUUAGAGAAAAAUAUUGUAGCGAAUAGCAGGAAUAGCU
rnacentral:sRNA from 1 species